UACGGAGGAUGCGAGCGUUAUCCGGAUUUAUUGGGUUUAAAGGGUGCGUAGGCGGAUUGAUAAGUCAGUGGUGAAAUUCUACAGCUUAACUGUAGACUUGCCGUUGAUACUGUUAGUCUUGAGUGUGGUCAAGGCAGGCGGAAUGUGUAAUGUAGCGGUGAAAUGCUUAGAUAUUACACAGAACACCGAUUGCGAAGGCAGCUUGCUGGGUCAUUACUGACGCUGAUGCACGAAAGCGUGGGGAUCAAACAGGAUUAGAAACCCUAGUAGUCC
rnacentral:rRNA from 1 species